AUGUUCUCUGUGGCUCUGCUGCUCCUCCUGGCUGCUGGAUCCUGUGUGAAGUGUGAACAGCUGACACAGCCAGCCUCUGUGAUUGUGCAGCCAGGUCAGAGUCUGACAAUCACCUGUCAGGUCUCUUAUUCUCUGGGCAGCUAUCGGACAGCUUGGAUCAGACAGCCUGCAGGGAAAGGACUGGAGUGGAUUGGAAGUGCAUGUGGUGGAUACAAAACAUACUACAAAGAUUCCCUAAAGAACAAGUUCACCAUCAACUUGGACACUUCAAGCAAGACAGUGACUCUAAAUGGAGAAAAUAUGCAGUCUAUUACUGUGCCAGAGGGUCACAGUAACAGAAACCAUCAGCAGACCUGA